rnacentral:rRNA from 1 species
UGCAGUCGAGGGGCAGCAUUUCAGUUUGCUUGCAAACUGGAGAUGGCGACCGGCGCACGGGUGAGUAACACGUAUCCAACCUGCCGAUAACUCGGGGAUAGCCUUUCGAAAGAAAGAUUAAUACCCGAUAGUAUAAUUAGACCGCAUGGUCUUAUUAUUAAAGAAUUUCGGUUAUCGAUGGGGAUGCGUUCCAUUAGGCAGUUGGUGAGGUAACGGCUCACCAAACCUUCGAUGGAUAGGGGUUCUGAGAGGAAGGUCCCCCACAUUGGAACUGAGACACGGUCCAAACUCCUACGGGAGGCAGCAGUGAGGAAUAUUGGUCAAUGGGCGCAGGCCUGAACCAGCCAAGUAGCGUGAAGGAUGACUGCCCUAUGGGUUGUAAACUUCUUUUAUAUGGGAAUAAAGUUUUCCACGUGUGGAAUUUUGUAUGUACCAUAUGAAUAAGGAUCGGCUAACUCCGUGCCAGCAGCCGCGGUAAUACGGAGGAUCCGAGCGUUAUCCGGAUUUAUUGGGUUUAAAGGGAGCGUAGUGGACAGUUAAGUCAGUUGUGAAAGUUUGCGGCUCAACCGUAAAAUUGCAGUUGAUACUGGCUGUCUUGAGUACAGUAGAGGUGGGCGGAAUUCGUGGUGUAGCGGUGAAAUGCUUAGAUAUCACGAAGAACUCCGAUU